CACCUUUGAAAGACAAGGCUAUGUUAGAUCAGGGCUGGUAUCUGGUGCCUGACGGACGUCAAGCUAAUCUCCAGCCUUCACCUCAACCACCCUGACAAGAACGUGUGCUUCAGUCUCUCCUGCGUCCUGCUGCAGAUGCAUGAUGAACGUUACUUUGGAGACAAAGGUGACUACAACAAAAGAAGAUCCCAAAGGUCUUAGGUGGCCGUCUACAGUGCUUUAUAGGUAAGUAUACCAACACAGCCAAUAUUUUAUUGUGCUUCACUCACUGCAUAAGAGGGCAGAUUAGUACCUGUCCAAAAUCUGUAACUUAUAUUAACAAAUGAAUCAAGAGGUCUUUUUUUAAAACUACACACAUACUUAGGUGAACUGGAUGGUAGUUCAUAGUUUAAGGCUGUCUAUGAACUGACUAAACAUCAAAUUAAUUUAGUUAUUGAAAAAAAAAACAUGCUACUGUGACCUGUCCUUGGUUUGUCUCUGGUCUUUGUUGUAUUUGUCUCCCCCUUGUUUUCUGACUCAUGUUCUGACAUUUUUUUGCUUAUUUUUUAACACAGUGAUAACUGCAUAAAAAGUUUGUAGUUAUGGCUGAAUGAGAUGAAUAAAGAUUCCUUCCAUGAGAGGUUAAAAAAACUCCAUCACCACUAACUAACCACUAACCAAUCACUACCGUAAACUCCACUAAAAAUCCAUUCAACUCCAAAUA